rnacentral:sRNA from 1 species
GUUGUACGCCUUUGGGGGGGAAUGAGAACCCCCGACCGGGGUUCGACAACUGGCGCAGCCAGUUGGACAGACUGAGAGCGAAGCGAACAGGCUGCCCGCAGGGCGAGCGCAGCGAGUCAAUCCCCCCGGUGCUAUA